rnacentral:lncRNA from 1 species
GAGAGUUGUAAGAUUAUUGUCAGGUCAACUUUCGUCUUCACAGGAGCUAAUACAUGUUCGGGUUUUAUUAAUAAGUGUAUAGAUAUGUCACGAAACUUAUUACGAACGAAGGUACGAAUGAAGGUACCUUCGAAGGUACAUAUAUAUAUACAGUACCUUGAUUGCUUCAUAUACAUACGAACGAAGGUACCUUCGUUCGUACGAAUGAAGGUAUUAUUUAUUAUUAAGGGUUACGAAACGUACAAAUAAAUAAAGCUGAAACGUAUGGAUACGUACGCGUAUACGUUGAAACGUAUAUCCAUACCUUCGUUCGUACCUUCGUACCAAGCGAUCGAGGUACCUUUAUUUGUACCUUCGAAGGUACCAAGGUAUAGAAUACCUUCGAACGAAGGUACCCAUAUAUAGACUAGAUAGACUACUAAUAAAAUAAUAAAUAAAACGUGUGUUAAUUAAUUAAAGAAUUUUUUUUGGGCACCGGGAAUAAUAAUUAUGGUCAUCCUUGAGUUAAUUACCUGAAGCGCGCCACGAGCUACCAGGAGCGGUUUUUCACCUGAGCAAGAUGCGCGCUCACGUAGCCGCUGACGUGCGAGUAACAAGCGGCACGCUGUAUCUUUAGGGUUCGCGCCGUGUCUUUAGGGGGUCGGGGUUGGGUUUUCAGGGUUUAGAGUUUAAACAGCCGCGAAGCGGCUCGUCGGCAUCUCCCUAUACACAUCCUGAAGCGCGCCACGCCCCCCCCCUAAAAAGCCCGAUUGCUGGUUGCUUGGAAA